GACGAACGCUGGCGGCGUGCUUAACACAUGCAAGUCGAACGCUGAAGCACCAGCUUGCUGGUGUGGAUGAGUGGCGAACGGGUGAGUAAUACGUGAGUAACCUGCCCUUGACUCUGGGAUAAGCUCGGGAAACUGGGUCUAAUACUGGAUGCUACAUGUCACCGCAUGGUGGUGUGUGGAAAGGGUUUACUGGUCUUGGAUGGGCUCACGGCCUAUCAGCUUGUUGGUGAGGUAAUGGCUCACCAAGGCGACGACGGGUAGCCGGCCUCAGAGGGUGACCGGCGACACUGAGACUGAGACACGGCCCAGACGCCGACGGGAGGCAGCAGUGGGGAAUAUUGAACAAUGGGCGAAAGCCUGAUGCAGCGACGCCGCGGGAGGGAUGACGGCCUUCGGGUUGUAAAACUCUUUCAGCAGGGAAGAAGCCACAAGUGACGGUACCUGCAGAAGAAGCGCCGGCUAACUACGUG
rnacentral:rRNA from 1 species